CGAUUGGAAACGAUCGCUAAUGCCGGAUGAGGCGGUUUCUCAUAAGGCAGAUUGUCAAAGCUGGGGACCUUCGGGCCUAGCGGUAAAGGAGGAGUUCAUGGGAUAUCAGCUUGUUGGUAGGGUAACGGCCUACCAAGGCGAGGACGUCUAGGCGGAUUGAGAGAUUGACCGCCAACACUGGGACUGAGACACUGCCCAGACUCCUACGGGAGGCUGCAGUCGAGAAUCAUUCGCAAUGGGCGAAAGCCUGACGAUGCGACGCCGUGUGAACGAAGAAGGCCUUCGGGUUGUAAAGUUCUUUCGCUUGGGACAAAGAGCAACAGGUAAAUAAUCUGUGAUAUUGAUGGUACCAGGUAAAGAAGCACCGGCUAACUCCGUGCCAGCAGCUGCGGUAAUACGGAGGGUGCAAGCAUUAAUCGGACUUAUUGGGCGUAAAGAGCACGUAGGCGGUUUGAUAAGUCUUCUAUGAAAUACCAUAGCUCAACUAUGGAGCGGUAGGAGAUACUGUCAGACUCGAGGAUAGACGGGGAAAAUGGAAUUUCGCAUGUAGCGGUGAAAUGCGUAGAUAUGCGGAAGAAGACCGGUGGCGAAGGCGAUUUUCUAGUCUAUAACUGACGCUGAGGUGCGAAAGCAAGGGUAGCAAACAGGAUUAGAUACCCUGGUAGUCCUUGCCUAAACGAUGCAUACUUGACGUAGUCAGGCUCAACCCUGGCUGUGUCGUAGCGAACGCGAUAAGUAUGCCGCCUGAGGAGUACACUCGCAAGGGUGAAACUCAAAAGAAUUGACGGGGGCCCGCACAAGCAGUGGAGCAUGUGGUUUAAUUCGAUGCAACGCGAAGAACCUUACCCAGAUUUGACAUGCAUUUGACGCUACUGACAGUAGUUCCGUAAGGCAAAUGCACAGGUGCUGCAUGGCUGUCGUCAGCUCGUGCCGUGAGGUGUUGGGUUAAGUCCCGCAACGAGCGCAACCCUUAUCACUAGUUGCCAGCAUUUCGGAUGGGAACUCUAGUGAGACUGCCUGGGUUAACCAGGAGGAAGGUGAGGAUGAUGUCAAGUCCGCAUGGCCCUUAUGUCUGGGGCUACACACGUGCUACAAUGGCAGGUACAGAAGGCAGCGAAAUCGAGAGAUGAAGCAAAUCCUAGAAAACCUGCCUCAGUUCGGAUUGUAGUCUGCAAUUUGACUACAUGAAGUUGGAAUUGCUAGUAAUGGCGUGUCAGCAAUAACGCCGUGAAUACGUUCUCGGGCCUUGUACACAC
rnacentral:rRNA from 1 species